AAAAACUACAUUUCUACCAAACACACAGUAUUUUCUAGGUGUAUGUCAAGCAUGUUCAACAUUGCCAUCUCUCUUAAUACAAAUUUGCAGUAUUCCAAGCAAUGCAGUCAACAGAAGCCCUCUUUAACAAUGCUGAUGUUGCAAAACAAACAGUACUCAAAAAGAUGAAAAUCUCACUCUCCCAUUCUGGUAAAAGCCUCUGAAAAGGUGGACUCUCCAAGCCAUCCCUUUUUGUACACCAAGCAGCUGUGACAGUGGAGUUCCUACAAACAGCAACAUUACAGAAAACAGAGGCCAGAGCUUGCCAUCAUUGCUGCUUGCAGUGUGUUCUGCAAGUCACAGGUCUGCCAUACAAUACCAAGAUUCAUUCACCUCUUCAACAUCCACUGCCAUUUCUGCACUAUUGCAUGUGGACACUGUCUUCACCCCUUGACCCUAGCAGGUUCAGUGAGUAUCUUGCACCAGGGAUAACCAGGCUGCGUUCAUCCUAGUGACUCAGCGGACACCUAACCACAAGCAGAGCACGCCAGACCUCUUCAUCCAACACCGAAAGGUACAUCUAGGAAAACAGACUACUAGACAUUAAUCACUGUCUUUUUCCUUUAACUGUGUUUCCUUCAGAUUUUUCAUGAUUUUCAUACUUAUCUAAUCCCAUUUUCUCCAAUAAUCACUAUUCCGUAACUCACUCCCAUUACUCUGAACCAUCAAUUUUUUAAUGAAUGUAGACAAGAUUGAAGGAGAAAUCCGGUCUUACUAAUGAUAGGGGAAUGUAAAAAGUCUUAGGCCACCACACCUACCUAUACCAACACUUCACAAAGGACAUCUGAGACACAUAAAACUAGCCUUCCAAGCAACAUUGAAACAGAACGUUAUUCCCACAGCAUAAUGGGUCUAAGCAGAGAGACAAUGAAAUGCCACUAACAGGACCUGAGUCAGAUCUGAUGACCUUUGUGAAAAACUCUGCAGAAGAAUUUUUUUGAAACAUGAUUUUAUAUUAAAUAAUAGAUUUUACACAUAUUGCAUGUUACCUUAUUAAACUCACUAUUUAUGCUUGCUAUAAGGAAGCAUAAGGCAAAACAAAAACAUCAAAAAUUGUGCAAGACUCAGUGGAAGUCUUCCUUAUGGUAGUCAAACAACAGGUCUCUCAGAAGAAUAUGUAUCUGUCCUUAUGCUGAGCUAAUAACGAAGGAGUGCAGUGUCUCUUUCCACUCAUAGCAGAGCUGCAGAAAAGGCUUUACAGAGGUACAGUAAUCUGCAAGGCUCUUUUUAACCUUACCACACACUCUCAUAUCUUUCCAAAAAUUCAAAACCACCAGUAAAAUCACAAAACUACAGCCACAUGGAACAUCAGGGAUGUAAAGCUGACAUUCUUGCUAGGCAUAUGUUUCUAAUUAUUUAGUUUACACUUUGCAUUUUAAAAAGUUCUGUAAAGUUAAAAUUAUUAAUAUAAAUCCAUAAAUUGCAAAUGGCAAUCAUCGGAAUAUCAAAUCA
ensembl:lncRNA